AAUGCCAUCAGAGGUGCCUCUCCAGGGAGACCAGAGAUCAAACAGGCCGCGAUGCUCACCCUCCCUCAGCGGCAUGGUCCCGUCCCUUGCGUGCUUCACUGAGACGGACCUCGCUCUUUUGGCCCUAGCUGCGUGGCAGUCAUUCAAGCUGCAGGAUCUAGAACUGGGCUGCCUGGGUUUGAAUCCUUGAUUCUCUCUCCCCAGCUGCAUGACCACAGGCAGAGAGCUCCAAGAGGGCACAUUCGGGUCUGGUCAUAGCUGUGCACUUGAAUCCCAUCAAGAGGCUGGAAUGGAGUAGAGGCCUCAGUGUACACGGCUGCAGGAGACUAGGUAGAAAGGUGAGCUGGACUCAUGGCCAGGUGCUAGCUAAUAUAGCCCCUGCAUGAGAGAAGAGAGGCCUCAUCCCCGGUUCAGUCCUUGGCUCCUCACGCUCUCUUGAUGGAGCAGGGCCCCUGAAAAGGUGGAAGUCAUCUUCUUCCGUGAUCGUAAGCAAUCCCUCGCCUGGUUCAAGGUAAACAGUGGUAUGGGGGGAGAAUUGGGGCUCUGGGAUCAGACAUAUCUGCAGCCCAAUCUUGGCUCUUUACACAGCAGCUGUGGCCUUAGGCAUGUCUUUUAUAACCUCUCUGAACCUCAGUUUCUUCAUCUGUAAAAAAUGAGCUAAUUUCUCCCUUGCCUGUUAGGAAUUUUUCUACCUACCUUGUGAGGAUUAGUGAUAAUGGCUGUAACGUCUUUAGUACAGGUCUAGUACACAGAAGGUACUGGAUAGAAGUAAGCUCUUCUCUCCAUUUAGAACUUACCCCUACGAGCAGGGGAACUGGACAGUCUGUGAGAACCCUCAGAUUCUCAGAAGAGAAAGGCUCCAUGAAUCAGAGUAUCAGCAUCUCACCAUUAGCAGCAACAAUAUUAGCAUUUUAAAGAACUGCAGGAGACAAUGUUUGGCACACAGGGAGGAACAAGAGCUGUCUGAGGCAGAAGGAUUUUUGGGGCUUCUCUGAUUCAGCCUCCUCGUUUGUCACAUGAGAUCUCUGAUGCCUAGAGAUGGGCAGUGACUUGCCAAGGCCACAAAGCCAGUCAGGAGCAGAGCUGGAACUAAAAAUUCAUGUCUCGCUCUCAUGGCACCUCUGCCAUACCAUGUCUCUCUAGAAGGUGGGCUGAGCAGCCACACAAUUUCAACUCUUAGGCAGGGCUGGUCUUCGCUUGAGUGCCCCACCCAGGCCCUAGUGCAGAGGGGCUAAGUUGCACCUACUGGAUGAAUGAAUGUACACAUGCGGGAGCAGGAAGCCGAGGAAUGACCAGCUAGCCUCUGGGCCCUUGCUUUCUGCUGUUCACAGUCCCCCUUAUCUCCAGGUGUCCCCCCGCUCCAUCCUGGCCCAAGGUGACUCACCUCAUCAAACAGCUGCAGCAUGAUGGUGAGCACAUCUGGAUGGGCCUUGUCUACUUCAUCAAAGAGCACCACAGCAUUGGGGCACUGCUUCAACUUCUUGGUCAGCUGGCCACCCUCCUCAUGGCCAACGUAGCCUGGUGGAGACCCAAUAAACUUGGCCACCUGGUAGAAGGAAGGAAACAUGCUAGGAAGGCCUUUCUGUGCUUUUAGUUUCCAACAUGGGGCAUGCAUGGGAAGAUGACUUUAUACGCUAUUAAGGUUGCCUCUCUCAACAGAGAUGAUUGGCUGUCCAUCUCCUGGUGUGGCAGAUAGAUCUUCUCUAUGUUUAUUCUUCAGAGCAAAUCCUAUGUGAAACAAAUCAGUGACCCUGCUGCACACCUGUGCUCCCAACGACAAAUCCCAAGGCUGCUGGAAUUAUCUGAGGCCCAAAUGACAAGACCCCGGCAGUCAUGCUGACAAGCCCUCCAAACCAUGCUUCAAUCAAGGACUGUCAUCACUCACCUCGUGUCGCUCCUGGAACUCGGACAUGUCCAGCCUGAUGAAGCCCUGUGUGGAAACAAGCAAGUACCAACUCCGUUUGGAGGCAGGAAAGUGAAGAGAAGGGUUAGGGAGGAGAGCACCUCAACUAUCCCCAAGGCUUUCACACCACACCAACAUAAGAUCUUCUAUCUCACGCUCAAGAUGUUUUUUUCUGACUUCCUGUCUCCUUUUCUGUGCACUCAUUUCCUACGAGUCCCUCAUUCUCUUCCUUAAAAGACCCAAAUCAUGUACCUGACCUUCUAAAUCUGACUUGGGGUGUCUUCUUUCAGGGAGGCCUCUCCUGUUCUGAUCACCACAUCAUCCACCCACCCAUCCAUCCAUUCCACGUUUCCUGAGGGCAUCCUGUGUGUGCUGGACACCGGAGUUACAACAGGGAACAAGUCUUGGUCUCUGUCCUUAAGAAGCACCCCAUCGAAUGGUGCAGACAUGGACAAAGUCAGUCACGAUCAGUGUGGACUGUGGUGCGAGGGAGGAGAGAAACACUCAGAUGGCUCCAGAAUGCCUCUCAACUCUGCAAGUCUGUGUGAUGCCCGUGUCCCUUUGAUUUACUUUUCUUCAAAAUGAAUAUAUUUUAAAAUGUAUUUACAUUUCUUCAUUUCAUUAAAAAAGAUAUCCAUAA